rnacentral:rRNA from 1 species
GACGUAGGGCGCAAGCGUUGUCCGGAAUUACUGGGCGUAAAGAGCUCGUAGGUGGUUUGUCGCGUUGUCCGUGAAAACUCACAGCUUAACUGUGGGCGUGCGGGCGAUACGGGCAGACUGGAGUACUGCAGGGGAGACUGGAAUUCCUGGUGUAGCGGUGGAAUGCGCAGAUAUCAGGAGGAACACCGGUGGCGAAGGCGGGUCUCUGGGCAGUAACUGACGCUGAGGCGCGAAAGCCAGGGGAGCAAACGGG